UGCCUUCGUCCUCUACAUACUCUCGUGGAAGUUUGCAUCUUUCUCUUCCAAGAUGCUCCUCCACCCCACUAGCAUGAAAAUGCACAUCCCAAGCCCCCUCAAGGCUGACCAUUUCCAUCGUUGUGGCUGGCAAAGUCAACACCAGUUGAAGUGGACACAUAAAAAACCUCAAUGGAUAUAUAUGAGUAAAAGUCAGUACCAACAGCGUGUUAUUGAGAAAAGAAAACGGGAAUGAAAAAAAGAUGCAUUGUAAUGGAGAUCAGCUGAGUUCACUCACCUAAGAAUUGCUUUCUUGGUAAGUUCACAUCAUCCUAACAACAAAAGCAGCGAGCAAACACUGCCAUACACAUCUCUGUCAAUCGAAUCAGACGUCCCCAUGGUCUUGGUUCGCAUGCCUCGAGGGAGAAAAGCUCAGGAUUUUCCUUUGGUACUAUUUGACUUUGUU
rnacentral:lncRNA from 1 species